GCCAGAAUGGUGCAGUGGCUUGAGCGUUGGACUAUGACUCUGCAGACCAGGGUUCAAAUCCCAGCUCAGCCA